CUUGUGAUGUAAAUUACACCCUAUAAGUAUAAUUCCCUUACCUUGAAGUUGUCUUCAAGAAUGAACUGGAAACUGCUAUACAAAUUUUAGUGCCAGGAGAUGUCAGGAAUUUAAAUGCCAUACGGGGUUGUGAUUUGUUAAACAUAUGGAAUGCACAUAUCCUUUCUCUAAUGUAAGAAGUUGCACAAAUACGUUUGAUAAUAAUUGUAAGAAGAUACUUACCAAAAGGCAUUGUUUGAAGUGGUUUUUUUAUUAGCUUUCUUGUUUGAUAAUGUACUUACCGAGGACAUGAUCUUAGAUAGAAGAGUGUGGAGGACGCGACCUAGGGUAGAAACAUAGUACGUAGCGGUGCGUUAUCUUGUUGUUCGUCAUAUUAGUAGUCGUAGUAUUGCUACUGUAGUUUCUUGUCCUUCGAUUUUUGUUACUAUCUACUAUUUCUUGUUUCUUGUACCUCAAUUAUGGUAUUAUUUUGUUGUAGCUUACAUACGGUUUAUAGUUGCUAUUAUUGGCAGUGUUUGUUGUGUCUUGUACUUCUGUUACUUCCUUUUUCUAUACUACUUUGGACUAUUUUCUAGAGCCCAGGGUCUACCGAAAACAGUCUCUCAAACUCAAAGGUAGAGGUAAGACUUUCAUACACUCUACCCUCUCCGACACCAUUAGAAUGUUGUCGUUGUUAUUGUAUUGUCGAUUUUGAUAAACUGUCUGGUCAGAAUAUAAGAAAUUGUCGAAUGUUCUUAGAAAUAUCCAGUGAUACUGGAGUACUAAAUGAUUUUUUACCAAAAUAAUUGUUCACCCCAAGGUACUUUAUGUAUUCCAGUUCCUGGAGGAAAUAGAAAGUUGAGCAUGCAAUAACAUCUAUACCUCAAUAGAAGCAAGUUAGGAUUGGCUAUGUGAAUCCUUAAUAUCCAUAUUACUAUUCAAUUGAAAAUUAAUGCCGAGGGAAAAAGAGGUCAACUUUUAUCAUCACUAACCAUAAGUUGGUUCCUCCUCCUUGAUAGGAAUAAAUCAUAAAUUCUUGAGAGUUAACUCGUUGUCCUUUAAUGAUUAAGUGUUGUUUUUAUUUUUACCAUUGUGUGGUUCUAUUAUAUGCUAUAUUUUUCAUAUGUACGGAAAUAAUUCUACACGAUAUUAGCACCAUGCACCAGGGACUAUGCUUGAAGUCCUAGAUUAAGAAAGGGUGGCAUUUUCUGCACCACUAAUUGGUGUUGGCAGUUUCCAAUUCAUCUUUUCAAGUUUAUAGUGUUGACAGUUAUUGAUACACAGUGUUGAUGGGUGUUGUACUAUGCCGCUAUAUGUAAUAUUUGUCAAUCGACCUUUGCCAAUUUACAUAUAACAUUGUAAUUAAAUCCAUAAGGAUAAAAUGCUAGAACAUCCAACCAUAUAUUUUCUAAUGCAGGUUGCGCAUCGUACGUUGGAUGGCUUGGUGAAUGAAAGAACGCAUUAUGCCCCUAAUGAUUAUUACUUCAUUCUAGUGUAUGAUAAGGGUUCUUUCUUGAUCAAAGUCAAUGGACUGGAGGGGUAAACGUGGGAUCCUAAACAAGUUCACUCUAUCUACACGAAUUAUGGGAAAUGUUGGUGGGAGAGAUGCUCUCUAAAAGAAGGAGGUCCAUCAAAUGUGAAUGUUGAGCUAUUUUCUACAACAGGUGAUGUUGUUUCCUCUACAUUAUCAACACCCAGAGGAACAUAAUACUUCAAAAACACUAUACCCGGUAUGUUACCCUAAAAGUAGUUUGGUUGUAUUUUAUAGUGUAUAUAUUUAGAUGGAAAAUACAAUGAUCUAUAUACUUAGAUGGAACAACUAUAUGCUUCUGAUGCUGCUUUUUUAGAUAGGUAACAUUAUGAUUCUUAGUUUAUGAAAUAGAUAGUUUCCGUGUGGACUUAACAUGCAAUUAUUAUGUUAUAUAGCUCAAUGUUCCAAUUUAUCUUCAUAACAGGGAAGUACAAAUUGCGUGCAUCAUGUCUUGACUUGAAUGUUCAAGUUAGAGGAUCUGUCGAGGUGCAUUUUGAGUCCCUCGUGUUCUUUUAAUUGGUGUUUCUUCUUUCCAUGUAAUGACAUUGACUUCGUUUACCAUAUCUACUUCCUAAAUUAUUGUACACCAACUUGGAAUAAGUAUCACUGAUUGCAUAAUUAUUUGAAUCUACCAUGUGGGUUCUCAAUUGAGUUGGGUUUCGAAAAUAGAGAAGUGGAUUUCUUCUUCUUUGUACCCGGUUAUGAUAUUCGUGGCUCUAUGGUUGCUAAGGUGAGUUUCUUUAGUAAUCACUUGAUCUCUAUUUUUGUUUUAUGUUUUAUAUUAAAGUUUGUUGUUGUGACUUGUCAGAGUUUCCAUGUAUUUCUUCUAAAAAAUUGAUAGGUCAAGGAUAACCUUUUACUCGGCACAAUCUAUUUUUCAUAGUCAUUUAACUAUGAACUAUAUUUACACAGAAUUCAGGACAAGACCAUUGCAAAAACCGACUAGAGGUAUUUGGAAUUAUUAUGAUCGAAUGAAUUUGUACCUGCUUAUGUUUUCUUUCACAUAGUUAAAGUGAUGAAAAUGCGUGAAGGGGGCGGAGAUCAUAAUAGACAAGGUUGUUUCUUUCUCAAGUGAGCUAUGAGAGGUGAAAUCCCAACUUCUUUAAGAGACAAUUUUGUAUGGCUACCUUGGUAUCAUAAUGCAAAAAUUAGUAUAAAGUGGUCGUAUUCUAUUCAAGCAAGUUAUGUUGAUCGUAGGUGUGGGUGUUCGGUUUUUAAAUUUUCCAUCUGUUUUUUCUGUUUUCAGUAAUGGAAAAGGGUGCACCGAAGGUUUUUUUUUCAAGUUUGGUUAAGUCUUGAAUUGAAAAGUAAAGGAAAUGAAAAAAUACUUUCUUGCAACAGUUCAAUUUUAGCAUCAGAAGGAAUUUUUACUUACACAUACAAAUGCAGUAGGAAAACAUAUUAAAAGAUAGUUAAUUUUACGUUAGAUAGAUAUUUUCCAGCUUGUUCAUUAAUACAUGGAACUUAGAACUUAAAAUAAACUAAAUUUUUCUCAGAUUUAUACCGCUCAUUAUCUUCUUGCUAAUACAUAGAUAAAAUAAUUCUAGAAAGUUGAAGUAGCCUUAGUUUCCUAGUAGUCUAACUAAUCUUAGGAAUACCGGAAACUUGAAAACCUAAUAAUCUUGUGGAAUAAGUUCUGUAAAUCUAAGAUAAACUUUGCUUUCUGAAGAUGACUAUUCAGUUAACUGAUUAAGAUGGAUACAAGGUUCUUUCAUGUCAAGUAAAAAAGGUAAUUACGGCUUUCUUGAUAUGUUGGUUUCCUUUUAUGGUGCUUCAUCAAUGUGGCAUACCUAUACUCAAUGUAAGGGCAAAUUGAUAUAGGACUUUCUUUUCUUUUGGAUGUUACUUUUAUUUUUUUAAUGUUGUCUUCUUUUAUCUAAUAGUGUUACUACGGUGACCAUUCUCUUACUCAAAUAAAAGUGGAAAAACUAUUAAGAAAAGACAACAAACAUAUAUCUGUUUUGGGAUCGUACUAGUGACAUAAAUUAGCUAACAAUUGACCUAUUUUUAUCCCUAUUACCUUUUUGUGGUAUCUAGCAAUUAUGAAAUUAACACCUCAAUCCCACGGAUCAAAAUAUGAUUAGGCAACUCUCGAAUGUAGCUUGUCUUGUUCCAAUUAGUCGUAUGUCGAGAUUCUUUUUAUGUUUUCUAAUGUUAAACUGUAUUGCAGGCAAAUCCCAUAUUGGGAGUUCAUAUCUAUUUAUACUCAGAUGAUUUCACAAAUGUUGAUUGCCCUAAGGGCUCUAAAAAUCUGCCUGGUGAUCUAGGAUUGGGAUAAGUACUUUGCCACAGUGUGGCAGAUGCUAAUGGAAUCUUCUCAUUGAUAUCCAUUCCUUGUGGAGUUACUUGAUUUAGGUGAAACAGUAGGAACUGAAAGUGGAGGACUUGAUUAUUUUUUUGCCCUAUGAUGGAAGCUGGACAUUUGAACUGAAAGUUGAGGACUUAAACAGUAGAAACAGGAGUUACUUGAUUAUUUUUUUGCAAUGUAUUAAAAUGUUAUGGAAAAUUUGACAUCAUACUCUAGCGCGAUCGGGAUGGUAACUAUGGUUUUUGCGAAACAAAUAUUGAAACUAAUAUCAUGUGAUGUUAACUAAGUUUUCUGAUCUAUAAUUAUAUCAUGUUUUUGUA